GAUGAACGCUGGCGGCGUGCCUAAUACAUGCAAGUCGAGCGAACGGACGAGAAGCUUGCUUCUCUGAUGUUAUCGGCGGACGGGUGAGUAACACGUGGAUAACCUACCUAUAAGACUGGGAUAACUUCGGGAAACCGGAGCUAAUACCGGAUGAUAUUUUGAACCGCAUGGUUCAAAAGUGAAAGACGGUCUUGCUGUCACUUAUAGAUGGAUCCGCGCUGCAUUAGCUAGUUGGUAAGGUAACGGCUUACCAAGGCAACGAUGCAUAGCCGACCUGAGAGGGUGAUCGGCCACACUGGAACUGAGACACGGUCCAGACUCCUACGGGAGGCAGCAGUAGGGAAUCUUCCGCAAUGGGCGAAAGCCUGACGGAGCAACGCAGCGUGAGUGAUGAAGGUCUUCGGAUCGUAAAACUCUGUUAUUAGGGAAGAAAAUAUGUGUAAGUAACUGUGCACAUCUUGACGGUACCUAAUCAGAAAGCCACGGCUAACUACGUG
rnacentral:rRNA from 1 species